GAAUGAUAAUGAUUCACACACAUACGCAAGGUGGUGAGAACAAAAUUGGCCGGUGCGCAGGUGUCAUGAAUCCCACAGUGAUUUUGAGUGCAGGUACUAGACUUACCUGCCUGCAGUCCAGACUUGUCUCCCAUUGAACAUGUAGCACAUUAUGAAGCACAACAUAUGAAAACAGAGACCCUGGACUAUUGUGCAACUGAAGUCAUAUAUCAAACAAGAAUGAGAAGAAUUUCACUUUCAAAACCUCAACUUUCAAAACCAAUAGCAUUGGUGGCUUAGUAGAUAGAGCAGGCGCCCCAUGCACAAGGCUGUUGCUGCAGCGGCCCGGGUUCAAGUCCAGCCUGUCGUCCUUGGCUGCAUGUCAUUCCCCCUCUCUCUCUCCCUCCUUCACACUUGGCUGCCCAGUCCAUUAAAGGCAAAAUGCCCCAAAAAAACAAAAAACUCAAUAGUUAGUGUUCUCAGUUUGCAAACACUUACUGAGUGUAGUUUUAAGUAAACACCAUCUUUAUAUGUGUCUCAGGCAUCAAAUUCAGAAUGAGUGUAUAUACACAAAAAAACAAUAAAGUUUAUUAGUUUGAACAUUAAA